GUACGGGGGGGCAAGCGUUGUUCGGAAUUACUGGGCGUAAAGGGCUCGUAGGCGGCCAACUAAGUCAUACGUGAAAUCCCUCGGCUUAACCGGGGAACUGCGUCUGAUACUGGACUGGCUUGAGUUCGGGAGAGGGAUGCGGAAUUCCAGGUGUAGCGGUGAAAUGCGUAGGAUAUCUGGAGGAACACCGGUGGCGAAGGCGGCAUCCUGGGACCGGAUACUGACCGCUGGAGGAG
rnacentral:rRNA from 1 species